rnacentral:rRNA from 1 species
GAUGAACGCUGGCGGCGUGCCUAAUACAUGCAAGUCGAGCGAACAGACGAGGAGCUUGCUCCUCUGACGUUAGCGGCGGACGGGUGAGUAACACGUGGAUAACCUACCUAUAAGACUGGGAUAACUUCGGGAAACCGGAGCUAAUACCGGAUAAUAUAUUGAACCGCAUGGUUCAAUAGUGAAAGACGGUUUUGCUGUCACUUAUAGAUGGAUCCGCGCCGCAUUAGCUAGUUGGUAAGGUAACGGCUUACCAAGGCAACGAUGCGUAGCCGACCUGAGAGGGUGAUCGGCCACACUGGAACUGAGACACGGUCCAGACUCCUACGGGAGGCAGCAGUAGGGAAUCUUCCGCAAUGGGCGAAAGCCUGACGGAGCAACGCCGCGUGAGUGAUGAAGGUCUUCGGAUCGGAAAACUCUGUUAUUAGGGAAGAACAAAUGUGUAAGUAACUAUGCACGUCUUGACGGUACCUAAUCAGAAGGCCACGGCUAACUACGUG